rnacentral:tRNA from 1 species
UGUCCAGUGAUGGGAAUCGAACCCACAGUGUUCGGCUUACCGGGCAGAUGCCAUGUCCACUAGGCUACCCUGGAC